rnacentral:ncRNA from 1 species
UUGGUUCACACAGAUGUGAUUAAAAGGGAAACAGGUGAGAGUCCUGUACAGUCCCGCUGCUGUGAGCUGUCAUUAUUGAGACCGACAACGGGCCACUGGCACAUUGUAAUCCGCCGGGAAGGCAGUCGGUCUUGCACGACAGCGAAGUCAGAAGACCUGCCGUCAGUUAUG